AGUCUCUCUGCUAGGUCACCCAGGAAGUUUCCCCUCUGGACAAGGUAGGGACUGUUGCAGCCAUCCACUGCUCACCCAAGCAAUCUGGUUCCUACAGUUCUUUGUGGGGCUGUGCCAUCAGGGCCAAGGUGAUCAACUAUGACCUCAGCGUAGACGGCUCAGAGCGUCUGGAAGAACGUUCUGGAAGGCAGUUGCUUUCCCAAGCUCAGGAGCAUCGUUUCCAAGGACCUGACAAGCCAUCUCUGAGUAUCACCCUCAGGAAGAAGGAAGCCUCUAUCUGACCCUGUCGGAGGCAGAGACUUAACUUCUCCUACUGCCAGCUGCAGAGGCUACUGGGCUCAUCACCAACCAGCCCUUUUGGAGAAGCUUUUGAACUUCAUGCAGUCCCGUCUGUUGACAUCCCAAGCUACUGGACUCCUGUUCAGAACAUCCCUGCCUGUGCCUGCAGCUUCAAGUUUUGCUUUUUGAUGUUGUCCUGUUGCAGAUCUUACAUCAAGGUCACCAUGGGAGACUGGGAUAUGGUAUCAAUCUUUGACAUGCAGCUAUCCAGAUUUCUUAGUACUAUUUUCUCCAAUGAACACUGGACACCUUUGUCAAAAAUUAAAUGGUAGUAUGAA